rnacentral:rRNA from 1 species
GACGUAGGGCGCGAGCGUUGUCCGGAUUUAUUGGGCGUAAAGAGCUCGUAGGCGGCUUGUCGCGUCGACUGUGAAAUCCCGCGGCUCAACCGCGGGUCUGCAGUCGAUACGGGCAGGCUAGAGUUCGGUAGGGGAGACUGGAAUUCCUGGUGUAGCGGUGAAAUGCGCAGAUAUCAGGAGGAGCACCGAUGGCGAAGGCAGGUCUCUGGGCCGAUACUGACGCUGAGGAGCGAAAGCGUGGGGAGCGAACAGG